UGGGGAAUUUUGGACAAUGGGCGCAAGCCUGAUCCAGCAAUGCCGCGUGCAGGAUGAAGGCCUUCGGGUUGUAAACUGCUUUUGUACGGAACGAAAAGGCCUUUUCUAAUAAAGAGGGCUCAUGACGGUACCGUAAGAAUAAGCACCGGCUAACUACGUGCCAGCAGCCGCGGUAAUACGUAGGGUGCAAGCGUUAAUCGGAAUUACUGGGCGUAAAGCGUGCGCAGGCGGUUAUGCAAGACAGAUGUGAAAUCCCCGGGCUCAACCUGGGAACUGCAUUUGUGACUGCAUAGCUGGAGUGCGGCAGAGGGGGAUGGAAUUCCGCGUGUAGCAGUGAAAUGCGUAGAUAUGCGGAGGAACACCGAUGGCGAAGGCAAUCCCCUGGGCCUGCACUGACGCUCAUGCACGAAAGCGUGGGGAGCAAACA
rnacentral:rRNA from 1 species